UCUCCGUAGGUGAACCUGCGGAGGGAUCAUUACCGAGUGAGGGCCUCCGGGUCCGACCUCCAACCCCUUUGUUGUACCGACCCUGUUGCCUCGGGGGCGACCCGGCCUUCGGGCGUCGGGGCCCCGGGUGGACCAUUCAAACACUGCAUCUUUGCGUCUGAGUACACGAUUGAAUCAAUCAAAACUUUCAACAACGGAUCUCUUGGUUCUGGCAUCGAUGAAGAACGCAGC
rnacentral:misc_RNA from 1 species